UGUCUCAUACACCUCAGAACUAACG
rnacentral:piRNA from 1 species